UACGUAGGGGGCAAGCGUUGUCCGGAUUUAUUGGGCGUAAAGCGCUCGCAGGCGGUCCGAUGCGUCGUGCGUGAAAGACCCCGGCUCAACUGGGGGAGGUCGUGCGAUACGGUCGGACUCGAGGCCAGUAGGGGGAUGCGGAAUUCCGGGUGUAGUGGUGGAAUGCGUAGAGAUCCGGAGGAACACCAGCGGCGAAGGCGGCAUCCUGGACCAGCACUGACACUGAGGCACGAAAGCGUGGGGAGCAAACAGG
rnacentral:rRNA from 1 species